rnacentral:rRNA from 1 species
UACGUAGGGUGCAAGUGUUAAUCGGAAUUACUGGGCGUAAAGCGUGCGCAGGCGGCUAUGCAAGACAGAUGUGAAAUCCCCGGGCUCAACCUGGGAACUGCAUUUGUGACUGCAUGGCUAGAGUACGGUAGAGGGGGAUGGAAUUCCGCGUGUAGCAGUGAAAUGCGUAGAUAUGCGGAGGAACACCGAUGGCGAAGGCAAUCCCCUGGACCUGUACUGACGCUCAUGCACGAAAGCGUGGGGAGCAAACAGG